rnacentral:rRNA from 1 species
UAGGCGUAAAUGAUGCGAGUUAAGUGUGGGGGCAUCUACGAGAUGGCCCUGUGCUGUAGGGUAGCCGUUAAACUCGCUGCCUGGGGAGUACGGUCGCAAGGCUAGAAACUUAAAGGAAUUGGGCGGGGGAGCACCACAAGAGGUGGAGGCUGCGGUUCAAUUGGACUCAACGACCGGAAAACUCAUCGGGAGCGACAGCAGUAUGAUUGCCAGGUUGAUGACCUUGCUUGACAAGCUGAGAGGUGGUGCAUGGCGUAGUCGUGU